UCCGCGAACUCAAAUGUAAAUAAUUGUUUUCCAUUCAUUGAUUUGCAAGCACCAAUCUCAUACCGUCCACACGUUAUCUCGUGUAUUGUCUUGCAUUCAGCGGCCUUUUACAUCAUCUCCAUCACCACCAUGCCCGAUCUAGGAGACAUCAAGCCUAAAGGACCAAGCAAAUGCAAGCUGUGCUUUCUAAGAUGCUGCUUCUGCUGUGUUCCUAGACCAUCGGUUCCAGGAAAGAAAAAGAAAUGCGGUUGCUGCUGAUAGAAGUGAGAUGUACCAAUGUAAAUAAAGGGAGAGAGGCGUAUAUAAUAUCACAGCGGGAUUACACAUGAGCUAAUCUCUCACACCGGAACCAUCAUCGCAACAUAUGCAUGGCUUGGCAAACUCGUGAUUCACGCCAUGUCAUCAGCAUUCAUCCACCCUCGGACCUGGGGCGAUGUGCCUAGAUAUUGUAAACAGCAAAUUGCGAUGUUAUAAUGUAAUAGAAAGUUCAUGUAUUGGCCCUAUAUUGUAUUGUUGAUGCCUUAUGAAAUGAAUUAAAUUUAUUUUGGGCUUGGUCGAUUGUGUGAAAUUCUCUGGAUGCACUUCUAAAUCAAAUAGUGUCUUGUUAUCAAAGAAUCAUGAAGACAUACAUUAAUUCUGUUCGUUCAAAUUAUUCCCUUUUUUCUGAACUAUCAAGGUAAUAAAGUCUGCAAUUCCUAAAUAGUAGUCAAGAAAGGCGUCAGUGUACGAAGGGGGGGGGGGGGAUAACGAUAAACCAAUCGCGAUUGGAUUAUUUCAUUGUUAAGUUCUCAAUUAAGUCGAUUCUUUUACCCCCUUUUAUUCUCUACCAGGCUUGUAAAAUCAAAGGGGGGCCCCUAUCCCCCAUAUAGCCUUUCCGCACAAUCUCGGAAACAGUGAGUGUAAGUGUUAUACCCAUGCAGGGAGGUAACAGUUUGCCAAAAUUAAUAAAUUAAUAAUUGUCUGUGAGGUUGUGAAUCCCAUCCAAGUUUUAGACAACCUAUUAUUCAUAAGUUUGUUAUAGUUAAUUUGUUUGGCAGCAACCGUUGUGAAUAGCAUGAUCUGUAAAGAUCACAAAGAGAGACGCUAAGAGGGGCACCGGUUCACUCUGGUCGUUCACUUAAUACAUCCGCUCGAUUAAUAGAAAACAUUGACGUUGUGUUAUGUAAAAACGAUAUAAUGUUCAUAACAAUCAACUCACAAUUGGAAUUGUAUAUCAUCGCAGAUUUUGUUUUGCUGAUGGCAAUCACAGAUGAACCUCCGCAUGCUCGCCUGAGGAAUUAGGCCUGCAAUAUAGUACUCGCACAUAAUAUUCGGGCAUAAUCAUAUUUGAUUUGUUGUUGAUUUUCUCACAUUGAUAGAAUACGCUGCAUUAAUGAAGAGUAAAGAGCGGUAUAAAUUCAUUUUUGCUUAGGGACUCUGAGUAGAUGCAUAUACAAAAUCACGUACACUUUACUCCCUUUAGUGUGAAAAAACUGAGCCCCCACCCACAUCUCUUAAAAUAGGAUUUCACAAGUCGUGCACCAUUCGGUGUCUAUAGAUCGUUUUCCUCAAUUAGCAGGCUCAUUCCAAUCAACAAUCUGACCUUGUUAGCUAUAGACAACGUGACUGUAUAAGUUCCGGAAACUAGGAGGCCCUUUGAACUUUUGGAUGCGAGAAUACUUCUGCUUCCAAUUUUAAAUACGCAUUGUACACAUCGAGGCACAAUUUCAUGCGUUUCUUAUUGAUCAACGAAAUACUUGCAAAAAAAAGGUCAAAUUUUAGCUAUAGAAAACGGGUAUUUUAUUUGUAUGUUUAACUGUGAGAUUAUUCUAAAGUGACUUAUUUUUAAGUGAUUGUUAUACUUAAUCAAUUGCCUUGUACUUUGUAUGUUAUCUCUGAAAACUUAUUUUUAUAAUUUCGUUUACCCUACAGAAAAACAUAUCUUAGUAAGGUAAUCCCUUGUUUACCAUCAAUAUUCAUACCCACCUGCGAGAUAUUUUUUAUUUACCCAUCUUUUUGACAUUAUGGCAUUCAUUAACGUUAUUCGUUUUGUCAUUAUUCUGUUUUUACUACUACUUGUACUUUAUAUUGUAGUUUCAUGAACGUCAUUGAUAUCAUUCGACUCUCAGUGAAAUAUUAUUUUACUUUAGCCUCACUAUUCAAAUAAAGUGCUCAAUUGAGGGCUGGAUUCAGACUGUA
rnacentral:lncRNA from 1 species